GACGUAUGAAACACUGUGCCCUUUUUUUAUGCUCCUCCACUAACACCAAAUACCCCAAAAUAAUACUUUGGUGUAGGGGACCUGAAUCUCCCACUAUAUUUUCAGGCACACACAAAAAAAAGAAAAAAGAAAAAAAUGAAUUAAUUUAUUAGAGGGAGUGUAGGGCAAACAUCUCACUAAUGGGGACAUUAUGCUAAGAUCUCUUGGCUUUCACGCUCACAAGACAUGGAUUUGGAAAACCUACUCCCCCGGCC
rnacentral:lncRNA from 1 species